rnacentral:misc_RNA from 1 species
UCUCCGUUGGUGAACCAGCGGAGGGAUCAUUACUGAGUUACCGCUCUACAACCCUUCGUGAACAUACCUAACUGUUGCUUCGGCGGGCAGAGGUCCCUCGCGGAUCUCUCCCGGCAACGCCCUCACGGGCGGAGCGCCCGCCGGAGGAUACCAAACUCUAUUUUAACGACGUUUCUUCUGAGUGGCACAAGCAAAUAAUUAAAACUUUUAACAACGGAUCUCUUGGUUCUG